UUGACGGACUGAGUAUGCGCAGUGUUUACAAACAAAUGUGUAGCUGGUGUCUGAGAUUACCUACUCGACAGUCUAUGCCAAGAUACUAAUGCUACAUAUUUUCUGCGAGCAGCUGAAGAUACUUCUACUCGAAGUUUGUUGUACAGUUGUUCACAUUUGUUUGUUUAUUAGCUCAUUAGCCGAACGUGUGUUGUUAGCAUUCAUUAGCACAGUGAAUGGACUCAAAGCCACUAUAACGAACACACGAGUGAUUUAUUAGCAUUCAUUAGCAUAGUGAAUGGACUUAUAGCCACUGUGUAGCUAACCCAGUUUAUGCUAAAGGCUUUAGUCCAUCGUUUUCGACUUGGAAACCCUGAGGAUUUAUUGGACAGUACUAUGAGCUGCAAAGUCAACAUUCAGAGAGACUUUUCACUACAUGGGCCGGACCCGCCAUCUUGGGACUUCAGCGUGCAUCCUGUUCCUUCCCGCAGACCAAGGCUGGUGUAAACUGCAUCCUGUUCCUUCCCGGAGACCAAGGCUGGUAUAAACUGCAUCCUGUUCCUUCUUGGAGACCGAGGCUGGCAUAAACUGCUGAUUGGAGUCAGACUUCAUGACCAAGAGGCUGGUGACAGCCAGGUCACUGUGAAUGCUCUAGUUGUUCAGGGUGAAGCUGCAGGUCAGCUGGUCUCCAGAGGUGCUCCUUCUGUUCACUGAGGUGUUCAUAACUCAUCCUUUUGUAUCACAAGUAGCAUUUUUCUUGCUCAACCACUGUUAUAACUGAUAAUUGACUAAACUAUGGAUCCAUCGUCUUCUAUUCAUUCAGUCAUUUGACCAAACUGUAACACAGCAGACCUUAGACAGGAUAAGACACAAAAAUCAGUGGAACGAUGCAUCUUCAGCCACGUUUUCAAACUUAACUCUGACUAAUAAAGUCAGUGUUACACAAUACUAAUUGAGUCAGAAAAAAAGUUGCCAAACAUUUUUCACUGAUUGUUUUAUUGUCUUGUCAAAGAAGAGAUCAAAGCAUUGUUCAGGUGACCAACAUCUCAUAGAAAGAGGUCCCUAUAAACUGCAUCAGCAUUGAACAACAAGUCUGAAACUUUGUAUACCUUGCGACCGACGUACCUUCAAGGUGACUUGAACAUUUGUGAGUGACGAUAUGUCUUCUGCUGCCUUUUAUUGAAAUCAAGGUAUAUCCCUCUGGGUGUUCAAAUAUUUAACCACUUAUGCCAGAAGAACUACAUAGUCCCAUCACAUAAAUGCCAAAUGGAUGUUUUGCUAUUCAAAUGCCUCAUUUACAAGCAUACUCUAUAUAUCUGACUGGGGAGGAAAGUAGAUGCACUAAAUCUUUAUAAUUACCAUUUGUCCUUAUUCUAUAUUUCACAUUUUGAUUAUGCUUCCAUCAUUAUUGACUUGUUCAUUAACUGCUCACUCUCAAGGAUGUAUGGUUUAUAUUGCAUGCGCACAUGACACAUUUAAAGUGUAUAUCAUUUGUGUACAUUUCUUUAACCUUAUUAGCAGUCAUAAAUAUUAUGUUAUUGGUAUUGAACAGUAACUUCUGUUUGAGAUGUUUCCAAUUUGGAUUUAAUGUCACCUUUUUCCCCACUAGCGGCAUGUCUACAGGGAGAGCAAUGCCUGUUGAUCUGUUGGAUAAGAAGUUGGUCGGUCAUUCAGUCCACCACUGUGGUCCAGACUGAAAUUUGUCAUAACUAUUGAAGGGCUUGCCAUUAAAUUUGGUGCAAACAUUCGUGGUUUUUCAGAGGAUGCUGACUUUGGUGAUCAUCUGAAUCUUCAUCUACAGAAGCAUCACCAGCAGGUUGUCACUUUUGGGUGAUAAAUUGAGUACAGAUAUCCAUGAGGAUAUCCAGAGGAUGAAUCGGACUGACAUUGGUGAUGCCCUGACUUUUUAUCUAUUAUCACCAGCAGGUCAAAGUUUCCAGUUGUCCAGUAAAAUGUUCCUACAUAUACUAGAUUGGUUGUCAUAAAAUUAAUUAAAAAUAAAAAGACAUUUAUGGUUCCCAGACAACAAAUCCAAAAUCAAGGGGAUUUUGUGAUUGCCUGACUCUUCCUCUAACGCUACCAUGAGGUUGACAUUUGUAGGGUUUCAGUGAGAUAGCUCCACAGCUAUUGGAUGGAUUGUCAUGAAAGCUACAGACAUUCCUCCUCAGGACAAAUGGCAACAACAUUUGCAAUCCAUCAACGUUUCAUCUAGCACCACUGUCAGAGUGGUGUGGCAGCCAGGGCCUCAUGACAGAUCAGGGCAUUCAGGCCAGUGACAUUCCUCCAGAGCCCCAGAUGCAUCAUGGGCCAGCGGUGUGAAAAAUGCUGGUCGGCCUGAUCCACUCAGCCGCAGAUGAAUGGAGCGCUCGGUGCACUCACCCGUAGAUGAAUGGAGCGAUCUGUCUUGUCAGCGGAGGUCGACCGAGAGGUUACAGUAUCCAACAUAUACCUGUGUGUGUGUGUGUGUGUGUGUGUGUGUGUCCGUAUGUCUGCUGACUCUGGGAACUAGCUAUAGUACACCACACACACACAAAGUGAGAGAUAAAGACAAACACAGAUGAUGACAUAUGAAGUAUACAGGUACACAGUACAAACAAAUAAACGUGUUUCUCUUACAGCCUAUUCAGAUAUAGUCUCACUCCUGAACCCAAACCCCAUCCAUACAUGCAAUCACCAAUAACAACUGACCUUUACCCUAGUCUUGAUUUGAUCUUUUAAAUGUUAAAGGAUCACUUUGCUCAUUUUUAUCAUCCAUGUAUCAGUAGAUGUUGAAUCUAGCCAGCAGCUGAAGCUUUGUUUCCUUCCACCAUCUACCAACAUGUUGUGACACCAGUGAGUUUGACUAGUUUUUGUCUCUUAGUCACACAAUUCAAUAAAAAGUAGCCCAACUGGGCAGAAUACUGUCCAAUCUAGCAACACUGUUCAAAACAGAAGAAUAUUCAGUUUACAAUUUAAGGCAAAGGCUUACAAUUAGGAUGCUGGGACAAGGGAAUGCAUUACAUUUUUGAUUGAAACAUUACUUUUACAAUCAAUUGAUUAUCAGAGUAGUUGCUGAUGAUUUUUUUGACAACGGACUUAUCGAUUAAUCAACCAAACAUCUCAUAUCUAGACCAAAACUAACAAUGAUAAGUCUGGCGAAGACCAUGAGAUGCGGCUGAAACCUUCGGAAACAGCUAGUAAAUGGACCUUGAGUAAAGAUUAUUAAUUAUAAUAUGGAGAUAUUUCUUUGUGGAUGUAUAUGACACCUUCAGACCAAGUUGCUAUACUGAACAAUAAACCAGUAGGACAUACUGGAUAAUGAGUGGUGAAAUAUUCCUUUAAAAUCCGAGUACCAACUGCAAACUAACUUCACCUCUAAUCUUAAUCUUAACUCAAAACCCACAUUUUAAACCUAAACUUGUCUCUUGUCCUGACUUGUGGGGACUUUUCUCAGAUUACUACCAUUGUGAGGACAUUUGGAGGUACAAAAGUAAGCACGUGCACACACACACACACACACAUGCAUACACAUACACUGGGCCCCCAUCAAACACUGCCCUGUCGUCCCUGAGUUUGUCACACACACACACGUGUGCACUCACACUCUGUCACACACACAGAGACACACACACACACACACACACACACACACACACACACACACACAAACAGCCAGCCCAUCUCCUCAGCCAUCAGCCCAGAGCUCCGGCGCCCCGAGCAGUGGCUCUGACACGUCUAUAUGUUUUUCCACCUGACCUUUUGCCGUCCUUUCUGCCACAGCCCGUAAACCAUAAGCUGAUAUAUGAAGGCAAUUUUUAGCGGUGCCACUUGUAUCUGAGUGAUUGCGUACGCUUUACAUUUGGGGCGCCUGCCACCUUGCCACCCCACCUCCUCCAGAUCUCUCUAUUUGGAUAGCGGGUGGUGUGGGGCGGUGGGGCCGAGAGAAGGAGGGGGACAGAGAGGAUGAAAGGAUGGGUGGAUGUGAUGCCAAAUACACACAUCUAUCUACUCCCAGGGCAAGGAGUCUGCUGUGUGAUAGCCCUUCACUCGGCCAGGCAGAACGUAAGAAGCUUUAUGAAAGGACAGGUUUGACUGCAGCUAUGUACAAGAACACCAUGCUUUAUUGAAUAGAUAACAUGUUUGUAAUGUUAGACCAAUAUCGGGUGUUUUUGGGUGGCUGACAUUUUUCUUUUCCAUUCUGUCCAUUCUUUUUCAUUUCAAGCAUUGUUCUUAAGGGUGGACAGAGUUUUACAGGUACAGUGGAAAGACAAGGCUGUAUGCUUUCAAUAUAUUACAUUUGCGUGUUUUAUUUUGUUCAUUUAGUAAGAAUACAUUUGGUUUAUUUUGACUAUCUAGUUAUAGCACUUUAAGUUAAUGCUCAUUUUGCAAAUAAAAAUCUGUGAAUGUAUGUUCUGUGUUGCACUACAAGAUCAGAAAUAUAAUUGAUAGGUUAUCUACACACAAUCAACAGUAUUAUGCUUCAUUUAUGGUUUCAUGAUUGUGUGAUGUGUUAUGGUCAAACAGGCUAAAGCCAUGGAAUCAAAACUGAAGUCAAGAGGUACUUGUUUUAUUUCAAUAAAGUAGAUAUUAUUCA